rnacentral:rRNA from 1 species
GACGAACGCUGACGGCGUGCUUAACACAUGCAAGUCGAACGGUGAAGCGCCUUCCUUUUUGGUGGGUGUGGAUGAGUGGCGAACGGGUGAGUAACACGUGAGUGACCUGCCCCCUUCUUCUGGAUAACCGCAUGAAAGUGUGGCUAAUACGGGAUAUUCUGGGUCUGUCGCAUGAUGGGUCUGGGAAAGAUAUUGUUUCGGUGGGGGAUGGGCUCGCGGCCUAUCAGCUUGUUGGUGGGGUGAUGGCCUACCAAGGCGGUGACGGGUAGCCGGCCUGAGAGGGUGGACGGUCACACUGGGACUGAGACACGGCCCAGACUCCUACGGGAGGCAGCAGUGGGGAAUAUUGCACAAUGGGCGCAAGCCUGAUGCAGCGACGCCGCGUGAGGGAUGGAGGCCUUCGGGUUGUGAACCUCUUUCGCCAGUGAAGCAGGCCUGCCUCGUUUGUGGGUGGGUUGACGGUAGCUGGAUAAGAAGCGCCGGCUAACUACGUG